GCGCAGCAGGGGCGGGGGAGCGCGGAGGCGCCCGAGCGUCUUCCCGCGGAGCGAGGCGGGCGGCGGUGCCUGCCUUACCCCGCGCUCUGGCCGUGCGGGCCUGGGCGUGGGCCGGGCUCGGAGGGCGGCGGGGCCGGCGGGUUUCCACCUACUUGCUUCCUGUCUGGGUACUGAGAACUUUUUUUGCUCAGGGGCUGCGUCCCUGUUCCUCGGUCAGCCUUGCCCGCCGGAGCCUGCGUUACGUUUUGCUCGUACAGCCGUACGCUGCUUUGCUGGCGGUUGACACAGCGUGUGAGGGUUCUUUGUGUGUUUCUCGUGUUGGUGAUCAGCGGGUGGCCUGAGAGCAGGAGGAGGAAUUUAAGCCAGUUGCGCUCUUUUUUUUCCUUUUCAGAAGGCGCUUAAUAAAAUAGGUGGCAAAAUCCAAGCAGUAAGGAGGAAAUCUUCCCUUUGCAGGGUUGCUCAGGAGGCUGCUUCUGAUGCUGCGGAGGAUCCCAUCAUUUUGGUGCUGACAAGCAGAGAUGGAGGUCAUCCAUUCAGAAGAAUGUAUGUGAAAAUGAGAUCAAUACUACUGCAAAAUCCUCUCCACUAACUACUGGUGAUGAGCAUCAGUGUUAUCUCAGCCUUGAAGAAAUAUAGGUAAAUGCAUAUUCACUGUAAGGACAGCUUACAAAAUAACUGGUUUAAAUAUAUGCUAAAUGAAAUCUGUUUUCUUCUAGUUGCAUGUGUCCAGUACUACAAACUCAGACUUACUGAGUCACUGAAAGUCUUAAAUCUUCUUGUUCCUCAACUCAAGUCUUUGGUUUUUUUCACAGCAAAGCAGAAGAAGAAAAUGGAAAAUCAAGUUUAUAAGAAUAUUUUCAAGUCUCAGCUAAGAUGAGAAGGAAAACUUGAGUAAGGCAAGACUAGUCUAACAUUUUAGAGAAUUUUCCUAUUGGGAAUAGGAUAAAAGGAAGUGAUGUGUCUAUGCUGUUUUGUACAGACAAGUUAAUAACAGUCACUGCGAGUACAUGUUCAGGAUAAGUAGACUAGCUAUUCCCUAGAAGUUUAUAGAUGUUCACCCUUCACUGUUUUGUAAUCUUAAUUUCUCAACAGCUGAUCUCUGGUUUCCUUUUUAUGAAACUGGUGAUAUUAUUACUGUGUGAUUAAAUGGAUGACUUUCUCUUGUAAUAUUGCUUGGCAAAACCAGGCACAUUUUGAGGCAAGUUGGUUGGGGUUUUUUUAGAUUUACAUCUGUAGAGAUAGCAUUACUUCUGUGAACCACUUUCAGCAUGGACUAGCAUAGUAUUUGUUCAUAACAAAAAAUUGAAUCUGACACUUCAGUUCAUUUUUUUCUGUGAUACAUGAUACCGAAAACAACUGAGAAGACAGAAAAGUGUAAAUAAAAUAUUAUUUAAAUAAAAUCUGUUCCAUCAUGGCAUUA